GCCACUGCCAGCACCACUGCCAGCACCUGCGGACUGAACCCGACUCGGGCGCCACCAUUUGGGGAAGCUGAGGAUUCCCGGGAAGGUGAAUUUUCAUUCUUCUUUGGAAAGUGAACAAGGAAAAGAAUUUUCCUUCAUGCUUUGUCUUCUUCUUCCUACCUGACCCCUCCAGAAUUUGGUAUUCUGAAGGAGUGCUGGCUCCACUGUGGUGUCCAUCAUCAGUAUCUUCACCAUCAGUGGUUUGCACCAUAAAAGGACAUGUGACUAGACCCUGUAAAGUCAAGUUCCACGUAGUUACUUGUAUAAAACCUGAUUAGAACCACUGGAGAGAUAGCCCAUUUCUUUUCCAGGUUUACCCAAAGCAUCCUUGAGUUUAUUUGUACACUCAUGGAGAAUAUGUAGAGCUGAAAAUGUUCAUAGUUUCAAGUCUAAAAUUUUGGAAGUGCCCAAAAUAGGUGGUCAUUUUAAUGUCUAAAACUUGCAUUUUGUGGUUUUUUAAUCUGAAAUACUGAAAUUAAAGUGGACUUGACUCAAAAUGUGUUUGGAAUAAUAAACGUGGAAUGGCAUUUUUAAAAAGUAGUAACUUUCAUUUAUGAUACUAUGUAUGAAUAAAUUAACUGUGAAUAAUGUUCUUAAAUGCCACUUUAAAACUUGUGACAUCAUAAAUAAUUAAUAAAGGAUUUUCUUGUCCUAGCUGGUGUGGCUCAGUGUAGUGAGCUUUACCCUGUGAACCUGAAGUUCACUGGCACAUACCUGGGAUGCAUGCUGUGUCCCAUUUUGGGAGCACUUGAGAAGCAACAGAUGAAUGAUUCUCUCACACAUUAAUGUUGCUAUCCCUUUUUUUCUCUCUCAAUUCCCCUCUUUCUAGAAGUAAAUAAACACAUUUUUUUUAAGAAAAGGCUUUGGUUAAUAAUUUACUAUGCAAAUCACUGUGUAAGUUUGGUUGCAUCAAGAG